rnacentral:ncRNA from 1 species
AUAAAGGCAGUGAUUGGGAGGAGUAAAUGUAUUUUUGCAUUUAGAGAGGAAGUGGAUGGUGAAAACUUCUUGAAAAAUAUAGUGAAGCAGCCCAUGAGCCAUAGUAUUGAAAGAUGCACAGUUUGCAGCGUAGCUGUGUAAUUAGGGUGGUACCGCGGAAUGAGCUUUCGUCCCUUGC